GGGUACUAUUGUUAGAUGGUUACUUUGAUUGGUAUAAAAAUUUAUUUCUAUGCUAUCGAUUUAGGUUCGAAUCUAUGAGAUCACACACAUUAGAUAUUCUUAUCUGAUCAGAUGGCUAAUCUGAAGAGUCCCACUAGAUGGGGACUUUGGUGAAGAGUCCCACUGGACUGGGACUCUAUCAUUAAUGAAGGAUUAAUUAAUGAUUAGAUCACUAAUUAGCUCA
rnacentral:lncRNA from 1 species